rnacentral:rRNA from 1 species
GCAUAUCAAUAAGCGGAGGAAAAGAAACCAACAGGGAUUGCCUCAGUAACGGCGAAGUGAAGCGGCAACAGCUCAAAUUUGAAAUCUGGCCUCUUUGGGGUCCGAAGUUGUAAUUUGUAGAGGAUGUUUCGGGUACCGCCUCGGUUUAAAUUUCUUGGAACAGAAUGUCAGAGAGGGUGAGAAUCCCGUCUUGGACCGGCGGUAGGGCCCAUGUGAAACUCCUUCGACGAGUCGAGUUGUUUGGGAAUGCAGCUCAAAAUGGGUGGUAAAUUUCAUCUAAAGCUAAAUAUUGGCCAGAGACCGAUAGCGCACAAGUAGAGUGAUCGAAAGAUGAAAAGCACUUUGAAAAGAGAGUUAAACAGUAUGUGAAAUUGUUGAAAGGGAAGCGCUUACAACCAGACUUGCGCGCGGCGGUUCCCCCUUCCUUUUGGUUGGGCUACUCCGUCGUGUCCAGGCCAACAUCGGUUCUGGGGGUCGGUUAAAGACCUUGGGAAUGUACCUACCCUUCGGGCGUAGACUUAUAGCCCAGGGUGUCAUGCGACCUCCCGGGACCGAGGAACGCGCUUCGGCUCGGAUGUUGGCGUAAUGGUUGUCAGCGACCCGUCUUGAAACACGGACCAAGGAGUCUAACAUCUAUGCGAGUGUUUGGGUGUCAAACCCGGAACGCGAAAUGAAAGUGAACGGAGGUAGGAAGCCUUAAGGCUGCACUAUCGACCGAUCCUGAUGUCUUCGGAUGGAUUUGAGUAAGAGCAUAGCUGUUGGGACCCGAAAGAUGGUGAACUAUGCCUGGAUAGGGUGAAGCCAGAGGAAACUCUGGUGGAGGCUCGCAGCGGUUCUGACGUGCAAAUCGAUCGUCAAAUCUGGGUAUAGGGGCGAAAGACUAAUCGAACCAUCUGGUAGCUGGUUCCUGCCGAA